rnacentral:rRNA from 1 species
AUUGAACGCUGGCGGAAUGCUUUACACAUGCAAGUCGAACGGCAGCACGGACUUCGGUCUGGUGGCGAGUGGCGAACGGGUGAGUAAUGUAUCGGAACGUGCCCAGUCGUGGGGGAUAACGUAGUGAAAAUUACGCUAAUACCGCAUACGAUCUAUGGAUGAAAGCGGGGGAUCGCAAGACCUCGCGCGAUUGGAGCGGCCGAUAUCAGAUUAGGUAGUUGGUGGGGUAAAGGCCCACCAAGCCAACGAUCUGUAGCUGGUCUGAGAGGACGACCAGCCACACUGGAACUGAGCCACGGUCCAGAGUCCUACGGGAGGCUGUAGUGGGGAAGUUUGGACAAUGGGCGAAAGCCUGAUCCAGCCAUUCCGCGUGCAGGAUGAAGGCCCUCGGGUUGUAAACUGCUUUUGUACAGAACGAAAAGGUUUCUACUAAUACUAGGAGCUCAUGACGGUACUGUAAGAAUAAGCACCGGCUAACUACGUGCCAGCAGCCGCCGUAA